rnacentral:rRNA from 1 species
GACGAACGCUGGCGGCGUGCUUAACACAUGCAAGUCGAACGGAAAGGCCCUGCUUUUGUGGGGUGCUCGAGUGGCGAACGGGUGAGUAACACGUGAGUAACCUGCCCUUGACUUUGGGAUAACUUCAGGAAACUGGGGCUAAUACCGGAUAGGAGCUCCUGCUGCAUGGUGGGGGUUGGAAAGUUUCGGCGGUUGGGGAUGGACUCGCGGCUUAUCCGCUUGUUGGUGGGGUAGUGGCUUACCAAGGCUUUGACGGGUAGCCGGCCUGAGAGGGUGACCGGCCACAUUGGGACUGAGAUACGGCCCAGACUCCUACGGGAGGCAGCAGGGGGGAAUAUUGCAGAAUGGGCGGAAGCCUGAUGCAGCAACGCCGCGUGCGGGAUGACGGCCUUCGGGUUGUAAACCGCUUUCGCAUGUGACGAAGCGUGAGUGACGGUAAUGGGUAAAGAAGCACCGGCUAACUACGUG